AUAGUUAAUUGUUUCCAAACAAAUAAUUGUCCUGUGUAUUUUUCCAUUAAGAAAGUUUUUAAUUUAAAUUACCAAUAUGGUUAUGGGCUUUGUUCCAGAAUGUAAACAUUACAGUGAAAAAAAACUUGUUCUUUUUUUCGUUUCCCAAAAGACCCAGUUCUUCUAAAGAAGUGGAGGUAUACCGAAGUGGAUUUCGCUUGUGAGACGUGGAGACAGGAAUCCAAGUCCAUCUUCUUUGAUUUGUUCAUGUUACUUUAGUAAUGGGGACAAAAAAAUAUGCCAACGUUAUUUGAACAUAAUGAAAACAAGCUAUUUUCGUUCCAAUCUCCAGAGAAAAAGAAAAGGGUACCUAGUGUCAGCAAAUCUGUAAGUGAUAGAACUCAAAGCCUUGUAUAUAUCUAUAACCUCUCUCAGACAUUUGAUGAAAAUAUAUCUAUGGACUGUGAACAACUCGGUUCUGAAAAACAACAACCGUCAACUAGUUUUGAAUAAAAUGCUUCUCCAUAUUAAAUUCAUUACCUCAGAAUUUACUUUGUCAAGCCACAAAGAUUUUCCAAGUCUGUGGUGCUCUGACAAAUCUGCAAUUCCCAUUAAUUUCUGAAGUAGAACACUUGUAUAGAAUAGAGUAACUUAUUUUAAUGACAAAAAUUUUAUUGUUUAUACACAGGUAUUGUAUAUAAAAGACUUGUUUACUACUUAUUUUUUAUCAUAUUCAUUUUAUGAUUAUGAACUUUGGUUUGUGUAUAUUAUUUUUCUAUUAUUUCCCUUCGAUGAGAGCUUAACUUUAUAUUACAUUUGUAUGUAUAUCAAAAAUUUUCUUAAAAGAACAAUUUUUUUUGUUAGGUUUUUAAAUAAAUUG